UACGAAGGGGGCUAGCGUUGUUCGGAAUUACUGGGCGUAAAGCGCACGUAGGCGGAUUGUUAAGUUAGGGGUGAAAUCCCGGAGCUCAACUCCGGAACUGCCUUUCAUACUGGCAAUCUAGAGUCCGGAAGAGGUGAGUGGAACUCCUAGUGUAGAGGUGGAAUUCGUAGAUAUCAGGAGGAACACCUGUGGCGAAAGCGGCUCACUGGACCAUAACUGACGCUGAUGCACGAAAGCUAGGGGAGCAAACAGG
rnacentral:rRNA from 1 species